UGAGGAAUAUUGGGUCAAUGGGCGAAAGCCUGAACCAGCCAAGUAGCGUGCAGGAUGACGGCCCUACGGGUUGUAAACUGCUUUUAGGCGGGGGUAAAGUGCCGGACGUGUUCCGGUAUUGCAAGUACCGCCAGAAAAAGGACCGGCUAAUUCCGUGCCAGCAGCCGCGGUAAUACGGAAGGUCCGGGCGUUAUCCGGAUUUAUUGGGUUUAAAGGGAGCGUAGGCGGGCUAUUAAGUCAGCUGUGAAAUCCGGCGGCUCAACCGUCGGCCUGCAGUUGAUACUGGUGGCCUUGAGUGCGCACAGGGGUGUUGGAAU
rnacentral:rRNA from 1 species